rfam:Natronomonas moolapensis 8.8.11 complete genome
GCGCCGUUGGUCCAGUGGUAGGACAUUAGCUUCCCAAGCUAAUAGCCCGGGUUCAAUUCCCGGACGGCGCA